UCCGUAGGUGGCGAUCGUUGUCCGGAUUUACUGGGUGUAAAGGGCGUGUAGGCGGGGAAACAAGUCAGAUGUGAAAUUCCGUGGCUUAACUGCGGGGCUGCAUCUGAAACUGUUUUUCUUGAGUGCUGGAGAGGAAAGUGGAAUUCCCAGUGUAGCGGUGAAAUGCGUAGAGAUUGGGAGGAACACCAGUGGCGAAGGCGGCUUUCUGGACAGUAACUGACGCUGAGGCGCGAAAGCGUGGGGAGAAAACAGG
rnacentral:rRNA from 1 species